GAUGAGAAAGAGAUUGUGAGUGUGAUGUGACCCGGUCUGAUGAGGCUGAACUCAGUGGGCUUAUGCCCUAAUGAAGAGCGAAAACCCUCUGGCGUCUCCGAAUAUACUGCAACGCACCUGAUUCUACAAACCGGACCGACAGCAGCACGUUAUGCUGUGGGGGAGGGAACGAAGCGGGCAGCGGUUUUGAGUUUGUUUUUUUGUUUUUUUUAAUUGUGCACGAGCGGCGCGCGAAUCACCGUAAACCCCGCGCGCGUUCACCAGCGCGCUCGAAAAGCGUGUUAAGAUUUGAGCGAGCCAUUCCUAUCUCGAAGCUUAUGUUUUACGGGAGCACUUUUGUUAUGCUGCAAGUGAGUGAAUAUCUUUCUUGGCUGAAUAAUGAGGAGAAACGAUCUCGUGUCAAGGAGGUCCAGACGCUAUUAGCACACAACAACAGAUUUGUUCAGAGAGCAUGCAAUCAGAGUUGAUGGUAAUGAAAGGGAUGCUGUUGUUAAAGCUGAUAAACAUAAGCAUUAUAAACCUUAUGCCAUUUAGAAUAGGCCUACAUACUGUAUGGACCAAAUAAGAAUUUGUAUUUUGUGACUUUGCUUUCACAUUAUGUUUUAAUUGUUGUAAGAACAUCAAUGCAUUGAGAACAUUGAAUGUGAAGACAUAUUGGUGCAGGGAAAAAAGCUUUAAAAUGUUUUAAAAAUAAAAUAAAUAAUAAUAAAAAAAUCAUAUGUAAACGUACCUUGUUUUGUGGGUUUAUUUUUACAAAUAGUUCUUUUCUGUUACACCUUAAUUCCUAUACCUGCACAGUUAAGAGUUAUAUUAAUGUUUUUUAGGAGUUAUCAAAUGAAUAUUGUAAGUUAUCUAAAUCUAAGGUAGUGUUCUUUUAUUCUGAAAAGUUAGAUUAACACUGAUAAGAGAUGUCUGAUUAACUCCAUGAGGGUUAAAGGUUGAACUCUGAGGAAGUGUGAAUUUGUUAACACUUUUAAAAAUAUUAAUUUAACACUGGCAUUGAGAAUUAUAUAAACACCAGGAUAUUGUUGAAAUGAACUCUCACUGAGUUAAAUUAACACUGGUGGUUUUGCUGUGUAUAUAGAUAAUAAUUAGAAGCAAGACCUCAGUAAACACAGAUGACUUGUGUAUCACAAAAAGAAGAAUUUGUUAAAAUGGGAGGGUGAAAGGGUUUUUGGCAAUGUACCCUGCUGGAGUUGUCAAAUUAAAUUUGUUGAACUCUUGAAUUUCUUAAAGAAAGUAGACUCAAAAUCCAAAAUAGAAUGGUAAUGAAAAAGACAAAGACAUCUGAAAACAAAUACCAGCUGUAUCAUUUAAGAAACAAAUUAGGACCCUAUUACAAAUUAGGAUUAUAAAGCGACUUCAAAUGUACAUGUCUGCAAAGUCUGUAUGAAACAUAUCGCCUAUCAUUUUGCAAUGGUGACGUAUCUGUUAUCAGCAGGGCAGCGUUAUGGGCAACAUGGGCUGCAGCCUGUUUUUAUACAGUCUAUGGCUGCAGCCCAGGGCCCCGAACACUAGGGGGCCCCCGAGUCUAUUCUCCUUUGCAUUUUAUAGGGUUGCCAACCGUUCCGUAUAAUAUCCUUAUAUAAGAUAAAAUAAUAUAUUUUGCGUUUACUGGUGUAUUUCUGUUUAGUGGCUCCUGUGGCUCAGUGGUAGAGCAUUGUGUUAGCAGAGCAAAAGAUGGGUUCAAUUCCCAGUGAACACACAUACUGGUAAAAAAAAAUUUAUAACCUGAAUUUACUCUAAGUCGCUUUGAAUAAAAGCGUCUGAUAAAUGUUAAUAUGGUUUUUAUUGUAUUUGUACAGCACUAUCCACUGCUGUUGUGUUUAUCCGUGCUUAAUAA
rnacentral:lncRNA from 1 species